rnacentral:rRNA from 1 species
GAGUACCUACGGGACGCAGCAGUGGGGAAUAUUGCGAAAUGGGCGAAAGCCUGACGCAGCGACGCCGCGUGAAGGAUGAAGGUCUUCGGAUCGUAAACCUCUGUCAGCAGGGAAGAACGGUCACUGUGCUAAUCAGCAGUGAAUUGACGGUACCUGCAAAGGAAGCACCGGCUAACUCCGUGCCAGCAGCCGCGGUAAUACGGAGGGUGCGAGCGUUAAUCGGAAUUACUGGGCGUAAUGCGCUCGUAGGCGGUAUGUCAAGUC